GCCGAAAUAGCUCAGUCGGGAGAGCGUUAGACUAAAUAUUUAAAGUUGCCUGGUUCAUUUCUGGGUUUUGGCA